AAUACUUAACCUAAAGACAAACAUACAAGAAUAUGGCACAUUCAUAAUAAAAAUCCACAAUAGUUCACAACGAAAGUCAAUAUACACAAUAGUUCACAACGUAAGUGCAUAUACACAGUAGUUCACAACGAAAGUCCAUAUACACAAUAGUUCACAACGAAAGUCCAGAAUAGUUAACAAUGAUCGUCCGUUCAUACUGAACGUCCACAAAGUUCAUAAUGAAAGUUCCCAAUAGUUCAUACACAUAAUAGUUAAAUAAUGAAAGUCCAUAUACACAAUAGUGCAUAAUAAAAGUCCACAAAGUCCAUAAAAGUCCAAACAAUUGAUAAUGAAAGUCCAUAAAGACCAUAAUGAAAGUCCAUAAUAGUAUAGCAGUAUCUACCAUAAAGUCCAUAAUAGUACACUAACAUCUACCACAAAGUCCACAAUAGUACCCUCACC
rnacentral:lncRNA from 1 species